AGCAUGUCUUUCUUUUUUUCUACCAUUAGUAUGGUAUUAACUAUUGGUGCCCUUAGGGCUGUUUUUCUCAAUAGGCUCGUAUAGUAUUUUAGUGUAAUUUUCUUGGUUAUCCUUGGUUAUCUUAGGGUGAGUCUCCCUAAGAUCCCAAUAUAAGUGGACCUAAUGUCCAUGAUAAAAAACUCCCCAUCUCUGGAAUAUAGUUGGCUUUUUUUUUUUUAACUCAAUUGUUAAAGUAAUCUGUCCCUUGGGACAAAACUGUCAUCAAUGAAACCAUACAAGGGUUCGGUCAUAUGUAUCUAAAGGUGAUUAACCUACAUCUUAUCAAAAGCACUUCCAAAUGGAAUAUUUACAGAGCUACCAUAAUCUACUAGCAUAUGGUUAAGGCCAAUGCAAGCUAUUACGGCUUGCACUACCAAUACAUCAAAGUGGGAAUAUUUGAUUCCACGUUCACCAUCAAUAUUAAAUAUAAUUGAAAGAUAUGCAAUUUUAGGAUUUCCUUAAAUCUAGAAACUUUUCAGUGUGAGCUUUUUAGUUGCUCGGCCAUAGUUUUUUGUAGUUUCAUAGCCUCUCAUUCGACGUAAAGGUCUUCAAUUGUAGUAUAGAUUUCACUCACUGGAGUUUUGGAGUGUGGUUCAUUUACUAGUUUUCUGAUGAGUUUGUAUACCUUAGCCUACCUCACGGACCUCACUCAUUAGCACUUGGUAAUGAAGCUUUUGACUUUCUGACACUUCAUCUCAAGUACUUCAAAGCAGUCAUCCGUAUCACGGUCCCUAGUGCGAUGGAUUUUGUAGAACUUUGCCUUUUGAUAUUUAGAGGAUGGGUGCACUUCACCUAUAAUUCAUGAAGGGCCUAAAGAGAUUGCUUGCAAUUUGUCCUUAGGCUCGUCGAAAUGCAAGUACUGUUGUUUUGGCAAUUUGGAUGCG
rnacentral:lncRNA from 1 species